rnacentral:rRNA from 1 species
UGCCAGCCGCCGCGGUAAUACGGGGGGGGCUAGCGUUGUUCGGAAUUACUGGGCGUAAAGCGCACGUAGGCGGACUAUUAAGUCAGGGGUGAAAUCCCACGGCUCAACCGUGGAACUGCAUAAUGAACUGCGAGUCUUGAGGUCGGUAGAGGUUGUCGGAACUCUAGGUGGAGCGGUGAAAUGCGUAGAUAUCUAGAGGAACGCCUAAGGUGAAGACAGGCAACUGGGCCGAUCCUGACGCUGAGGCACGAAAGCGUGGGUAGCGAACGGGAUUAGAUA